GCCCGGUUAGCUCAGUUGGCCAGAGUGUCCGCUUGACGUGCGGAAGGUCGCAGGUUCAAGUCCUGCCAGGCGCACAA
rnacentral:tRNA from 1 species